AUGCUGUCCGCGGCCCGCCGCCGCCUCUUCCCUCUCCCUGUCCGCUACAUCGCUGCGGCCUUCUCCACCGCCACCGCUUCCGCCGCUGCCGACCCCACGGUACUCUACCUGGAAUCGACCUGCGCCCUCUCCCCCGCCGCCGCCGCCCGCGCCGCGGACUCCAUCCGCCUCGUCUCCCCGGAUUCCACCGCGCAGGCCGACGCCGUCCUCGAUCUCCUCCGCCGGUACGGUUUCUCGGACACCGACAUCUCCGCCACCGUCCGCAAGUUCCCCAUCAUGCUCGUCUCCAACCCCACCAAGACAAUCCAGCCCAAGCUCGACUUUUUCGCCUCCGUCGGCAUCAGCGCGCCGCUCCUCCCCAAGCUCGUCUCCCUCAGCCCCGUCGUCCUCCACCGCAGUAUCCAGGACCACCUGGCCCCGCUCUUUGAGUCUCUCCGCGAAAUCCUCGGCUCCAAUGCCCGCGUCGUGGCCGCGCUGCGCAAGAUGCCGUUCGUUGUCCGCUGCUGCCCCAAGAAUACUCUCAACCUCGUGCUUUCCGCGCUACGGGACGUCCACGGAGUGCCCCCGGGGGACGUUUCCAGGCUCAUCGCCCUCCAGCCAGGCGUCAUCUUGCAACGCCCCGACCGCUUGGCAGAGAUCGUCCAGGCCGUCAAGAACUUUGGCAUGGAACCCGGUGACCCCAAUUUCGUCCACAUGUUUGUCAUCCUUUCCAAGAUGAAGACCCCCACACUGGAGACCAAGAUUGCAGUCUACCAGAGCCUCGGUUUCAACAAGGACAUUGUUACAUUAAUGAUGCGGCGGUACCCACCCGCCAUGGCGAUUUCGGGGGAGAAGAUAAAGGAAAGCAUCGGAUACUUGGUCGGGAAGGCGGGGUUGAGCCUGGAAGAUAUCGCGAGGUAUCCCAAGAUACUAGUGCGGAGCCUCGAGAGCCAUUCCAGGAGGUGUGCGGUGCUCGCCCUGCUGAGGAAGGAAGGGAAGCCACAGGGGAAUCAUCAGGUUCCUGUGGUGCUCGGGGCCACCAUGGUACGCUUCUUGAAGGUGUAUGUGCAACCGCACGAGAUCGAGAUCCCUGAUGUUGUCAGGGCCUUCAACGGCGAGAUCCCUUUCGAGGGCUUCGGUGUGUUGCAGCAGCCACAGCAACUGGGGAAGACGAGCCUGUGAUGUCAUCGGCCAACAUUAGUCUUGGUAGGGUUUGCCUAGGAAGUUUUCUGAAGAUUGUGUUGCUUGGCUAAUGUUUGUUCUUGGUAGGAUUUUCUUGGGAAGAUUGUGUUGCUCAUGCAACGAGACUGCCAAGAAGUAUGGUUAUGCAAGGGAGAAGAGAGCUGAGGUCCAAUUAGCCUGGAUACGAAGACAACAAACUGGUGAAGCUAGAUCGUCCAAGAAGCCGAAGCCUUUUGUUGUACAAUCUCAUAUUUCUGUGUAGUUUGUAGUUUGUGUAUUGCUGAUAUUUCACGUGUUCCACAAUCUAA